UGAGUCUUCCCUGAUACUUUAAGUAUCCUAAAGGGUUGUCGGAGACUACGACGUUGAUAGGUCAGGUGUGUAAGUGCUGUGAGGCAUUGAGCUAACUGAUACUAAUUGCCCGUGAGGCUUAACCAUACAACACCCAAGGGGUUU
rnacentral:rRNA from 1 species